rnacentral:rRNA from 1 species
GAGUUUGAUCUUGGCUCAGAUUGAACGCUGGCGGCAUGCCUUACACAUGCAAGUCGAACGGCAGCAUGAUCUAGCUUGCUAGAUUGAUGGCGAGUGGCGAACGGGUGAGUAAUACAUCGGAACGUGCCCUGUAGUGGGGAUAACUAGUCGAAAGAUUAGCUAAUACCGCAUACGACCUGAGGGUGAAAGUGGGGGACCGCAAGGCCUCAUGCUAUAGGAGCGGCGAUGUCUGAUUAGCUAGUUGGUGGGGUAAAGGCCCACCAAGGCGACGAUCAGUAGCUGGUCUGAGAGGACGAUCAGCCACACUGGGACUGAGACACGGCCCAGACUCCUACGGGAGGCAGCAGUGGGGAAUUUGGACAAUGGCGAAGCCUGAUCCAGCAAUGCCGCGUGUGUGAAG